GCCGAGCAAAUGCCUCGGCGUUGCGGCUUCAUUUUGACUUUUUACAAAGCGUUCAGGGAAGGGUAGUUCUGAUUGAGUCUUCAGUGGAGCAUUUUUGUCAUAAGACGUUGGUCCGAGUUGGGUCUAUAUGAUUUGUGGUCGAGUAGAUUGUGAUUAAAAUUCAACGAACUUUAAUAAGCUGAAGCAGGUUCUCCAAUCUGUCGUUCCUAUGGCAACUAGGCUGACUGGUCUCCGACCACUAAGCCAGCUCAGGACUUUACAAAAUUUUUGCGUUCCGCCAUCAGUAGCUUCUGCUCUUCCUUCAUGGUUGCCAAGCCUCACAGCCGUGCAUUUAGACUGGCCGUAUGGUGGAAGGUGGCACAGGACAGGGAGCACUGGAAUCUUCUCGUUUUGGAGGCCAUGACACUUUUUGGGUCGCAGAGCCAGCGGAGUGAGUGAGUGAUCUUUAGUAGAAAAGUAG